UACGGAGGGUGCAAGCGUUAUCCGGAUUCACUGGGUUUAAAGGGUGCGUAGGCGGACAGGUAAGUCAGUGGUGAAAUCUCUGGGCUUAACCCAGAAACUGCCGUUGAUACUAUUUGUUUUGAAUAUCCUGGAGGUAGGCGGAAUAUGUCAUGUAGCGGUGAAAUGCUUAGAUAUGACAUAGAACACCGAUAGCGAAGGCAGCUUACUACAGGAUGAUUGACGCUGAGGCACGAAAGCGUGGGGAUCAAACAGG
rnacentral:rRNA from 1 species